rnacentral:rRNA from 1 species
UACGGAGGAUGCGAGCGUUAUCCGGAUUUAUUGGGUUUAAAGGGUGCGUAGGCGGAACAUUAAGUCAGCGGUAAAAUCGAGGGGCUCAACCCCUUUAAGCCGUUGAAACUGGUGAUCUUGAGUGGGCGAGAAGUAUGCGGAAUGCGUGGUGUAGCGGUGAAAUGCAUAGAUAUUAGGAGGAACACCAGUGGCGAAGGCGGCUUACUGGACAGUAACUGACGUUGAGGCUCGAAAGCGUGGGGAGCAAACAGG